rnacentral:rRNA from 1 species
GACGAAGGGGGCUAGCGUUGUUCGGAAUUACUGGGCGUAAAGCGCGUGUAGGCGGUUGUUCAAGUCGGGUGUGAAAGCCUUGAGCUCAACUCAAGAAAUGCACUCGGUACUGGAUGACCAGAGGACCGGAGAGGAUAGUGGAAUUCCCAGUGUAGUGGUGAAAUACGUAGAGAUUGGGAAGAACACCAGUGGCGAAGGCGGCUAUCUGGACGGUUUCUGACGCUAAGACGCGAAAGCGUGGGGAGCAAACAGG